rnacentral:tRNA from 1 species
AUGGGUAUAGCUCAGUGGUAGAGCGCAUGCUUAGCAUGCAAAAUAUCCUGGGUUCAAUCCCCAGUACCUCUU